AACGAACGCUGGCGGCAUGCCUAACACAUGCAAGUCGAACGGGUACCUUCGGGUGCUAGUGGCGCACGGGUGCGUAACGCGUGGGAAUCUGCCCUUGGGUUCGGAAUAACUCAGCGAAAGCUGCGCUAAUACCGGAUGAUGUCGAAAGACCAAAGAUUUAUCGCCCGAGGAUGAGCCCGCGUUGGAUUAGCUAGUUGGUGGGGUAAAGGCCUACCAAGGCGACGAUCCAUAGCUGGUCUGAGAGGAUGAUCAGCCACACUGGGACUGAGACACGGCCCAGACUCCUACGGGAGGCAGCAGUGGGGAAUAUUGGACAAUGGGCGAAAGCCUGAUCCAGCAAUGCCGCGUGAGUGAUGAAGGCCUUAGGGUUGUAAAGCUCUUUUACCCGGGAUGAUAAUGACAGUACCGGGAGAAUAAGCUCCGGCUAACUCCGUG
rnacentral:rRNA from 1 species